CUCCAGACUCCUACGGGAGGCAGCAGUGGGGAAUAUUGCACAAUGGGGGAAACCCUGAUGCAGCGACGCCGCGUGAGCGAAGAAGUACCUCGGUAUGUAAAGCUCUAUCAGCAGGGAAGAAGAUGACGGUACCUGACCAAGAAGCUCCGGCUAAAUACGUGCCAGCAGCCGCGGUAAUACGUAUGGGGCAAGCGUUAUCCGGAUUUACUGGGUGUAAAGGGAGCGUAGGCGGCCUGGCAAGCCUGAUGUGAAAUACCGGGGCCCAACCCCGGGGCUGCAUUGGGAACUGCCAGGCUGGAGUGCCGGAGAGGCAGGCGGAAUUCCUAGUGUAGCGGUGAAAUGCGUAGAUAUUAGGAGGAACACCAGUGGCGAAGGCGGCCUGCUGGACCGAAACUGACGUUGAGGCUCGAAAGCGUGGGGAGCAAACAGGAUUAGAUACCCCCGUAUUU
rnacentral:rRNA from 1 species